rnacentral:rRNA from 1 species
AUGCAGGCAAGCAAGAGUUCUCCAGCGAAUCACAACGACGGACGUAACAUAUCCGUGGACAUGUACCCGUUCGUACGCAAGUACGAGGACGGCAGCAUCGAGCGUUUCCUGCGCAGUCCAUUCGUGCCGGCGUCGUCGGAUCAGGCCCGCAACCGUGGGGUGGCGACGAGGGACGUCGUCGUCGACAAGGCCACCGGCGUGUCUGUGCGCCUGUUCCUCCCGUCCGGUGCCGCCGAGACCGCAGGCAGGAAUCGGCUUCCUCUCGUCAUCUACGUCCAUGGCGGCUCGUUCUGCACCGAAAGCGCUUUCGGCCGGACGUACCACCGCUACGCGACCUCCCUCGCCGCCUCUGCCGGGGCCCUCGUCGUGUCGGUGGAGUACCGUCUGGCGCCGGAGUUCCCCAUCCCUGCGGCCUACGACGACGCGUGGGCCGCGCUCCAGUGGGCGGCCUCCUUGUCCGACCCGUGGCUGGCCAGCUACGCUGACCCCGCGCGCACGUUCCUGGCCGGCGACAGCGCCGGCGGCAACAUCGUUUACCACACGGCAGUCCGCGCCAGCCACGAAGUCAACAACGAGAUUAUGGACAUCGAGGGGCUGAUCAUGGUGCAACCUUACUUCUGGGGAGCCAAGCGGCUGCCUUUGGAGCUCGCGUGGGACGACAACGAAACCACCGUGGCGGUGUUCCCGCCGAACGGGGUGGACCGGCUCUGGCCGUUCGUGACGGCCGGCCAGGCCAGCAACGACGACCCCCGGAUCGACCCUCCGGCCUCGGAGAUCUCAUCGCUGGCUUGCCGCCGCGUGCUCAUCGCCGUGGCCGGGAAGGACAGCCUGCGGGGCCGCGGCCACCGCCUGGCGGCCCGCAUGCGUGAUCUCGACUCGCGCUGGCCUUGGAUGAUCCAGCGGCGCCGCCAGGUGACGGUGGUGGAGUCGGAGGGCGAGGAGCACGGUUUCCACCUCUACAGUCCGCUGAGGGCCACCAGCAAGAGGCUCAUGGGGAGCCUCGUGGAGUUCAUAAACCAGCAGCCCACCUCGCCGCCUGCGAAUCCGAUGGUGGUGCUAGGCGUGCCCACGACGCCGUGCAAGGACGUGUUUGGGUAUGGCAUGGCCAUGAAGGCCUGGUGCACACGGUCCAGUAUGCCACGUAACACUGCUACUUCAUUGAAGAUUGGAAGGGUUGGGCCAUCCAACACAAGAUAUAGGUUAAUCUCAGGUCGACUGCGGAUGACUGCUGGUAACGCUCAUCACAAAGAUCUAUUAUCUGCUGCAGUUCCGUGGAGUUGUGUGAUCAACAACUUCUUCUAG